rnacentral:rRNA from 1 species
AGAGUUUGAUCAUGGCUCAGGACGAACGCUGGCGGCGCGCUUAAUACAUGCAAGUCGAGCGAGAACCAUGGCUUCGGCCAUGGGGACAGCGGCGAACGGGUGAGUAACACGUGGGUAAUCAACCCCCGACACCGGGAUAGCCCAGGGAAACUUGGAUUAAUACCGGAUGCCCCAUCUGGCUUUCGAGCCGGCUGGAAAAGGGUAGCUUCGGCCUCCGGUCGGGGACGAGCCCGCGGCGGAUUAGCUUGUUGGUGAGGUAACGGCUCACCAAGGCGACGAUCCGUAGCUGGUCUGAGAGGACGAUCAGCCACACUGGGACUGAGACACGGCCCAGACUCCUACGGGAGGCAGCAGUAGGGAAUCUUGCGCAAUGGGCGAAAGCCUGACGCAGCGACGCCGCGUGAGGGAAGACGGCCUUCGGGUUGUAAACCUCUUUCAGGAGGGACGAAGCCACUCGGGUUAAUAGCCCAGAGGGUGACGGUACCUCCAGAAGAAGCCCCGGCUAACUACGUGCCAGCAGCCGCGGUAAUAC